ACGGACACACAUUUGAUGUAUUAAACGUUUCAUUAGUAAAUAUUUACAAAGAGUUUUACUGUAGCAUCACAUUGUCUAAAUCAUGACGUAAUUGGUCUAAAAGAAAAGCCUUAGUUAAAAGCAAGUAAUGUGAAUCUGAAUGAUUAUUUAAGAGGGGGAGCAGAGAAUAAUAUUUGUUGCAUGCACGCGGUGCACGAUGCGUUGUUUUCUUUCCUACCUUCUCUUUGUAUUUUUAACACGCCAAUAAUUAUAAUGUGCUCAAUCUCAUCGUGAGCAGUGGCAGCCAAGCACAGUAUAUAUACACGCUACUAGCUAGGAUAAGUAUAGUAGCUUAGCUAGCCUCCAGCGAGGAGACGAUGGCGAACGCCGGUGGCAAUGUCGACGUCGUCGUCGCCNNN
rnacentral:lncRNA from 1 species